rnacentral:tRNA from 1 species
GGUUGUGGCUCAGUGGCAGAGUGCUUGCCUAGCACAUGUGAGGCACUGGGUUCAAUCCUCAGCACCA